GGGAUCGGCGGAUGUUGCUUAUAGGACUCCGCCGGCACCUUAUGAGAAAUCAAAGGUGUUGGGUUCCGGGGGGAGUAUGGUCGCAAGGCUGAAACUUAAAGGAAUUGACGGAAGGGCACCACCAGGCGUGGAGCCUGCGGCUUAAUUUGACUCAACACGGGGAAACUUACCAGGUCCAGACAUAGCAAGGAUUGACAGACUG
rnacentral:ncRNA from 1 species